rnacentral:tRNA from 1 species
UCGGCAGCAGCUCAGUGGUAGAGCUUCCACCUCGUGCAGGGGAAGACCUGGGUUCGAUUCCCGGCUGCUUAC